UCCAUCCCCUUCCAUCGGCCAUACUCCACAUUUUGCCCCAAAUUCCCAAUUUAGGGAUUUCUAGCGAAGGAACGGCGGCGGCGCACCUUGCCAGCAGCUAGUCGCCAGUUCCAGACCGGCGACGAGUCGGUGUCCCCGCGGCACAUGAGUUUUGGCAAAGCGGCACCACUGUAGUUAAGCCACCAUUGCUAUCCGAUACCCCGCAGGACGGAGAUGCCGCCUGCUCUCCUCCGUCGGCUAGACUCGGAAUUGAGCCCGCUCCCAGCUGCUCAUCUGCCACUGCCAGCGGCGUGUUGCGGAGCUGCCGAUUGGUACGGCUCGUGCAGCCGUCCUCGGGCUCCGUCGUCUCCGAGGUUAUCGGCGUCUCUUCCGGCGCCACCAAGCUGCCGGCCCUCUCGCCGCGUCGGCUCUAUCGCCCUCGGAAUCACCGUCGAGCUUGACUAGGCUAAAGCCCGGCGGCUUCGAGUUGCUCUCGGCAUCCCCGGCUACAUUCCGCUGUCUUCGGCGCUAACUUAUACGUAGGAGAUGAGUUUUUCCUAUCUUAAGCCUACUUUAGCCUACUUAAUUUCAGAUUGUAACCUUGAGAAAUUCUUCUUACUUGUUGGAAGUUGUUUUGGUUGCUUAUUGGAGUGUGCUUUAAAAAUCAAUACUUGCCGAGCUUUAAGCUAUGGAAGUUGUUACUGUUAUGCUAUUGGCCUUUGGGAUUGUAUGCUCUAGUCAAGUUGUUGAGUUUGAUUAGAGAUGCAGCUAUGUUCUGUUCCUUGGUUACAUUGUACAAAAUGGCUCUAAACUUCCUCAUACUCGUUCCUUUUUUAUUAGUUUGUUUGGAUAUCAACAUGCUGAUUGUGGUUUCUACAUGUUGUUGUGGUUCAUGCUUAAGUGUGAGGAAGAAAAGAAAGGUAAAGUGGAGGUUACCUUCUUCCACUGCCCUUGAUCUCCACUCCUAGCCUCGGUCUCCCUCACACUCUCUAACUCACUGAUUGCUGACUGAAAAUGUUGUGUGGAAAGGAGUGAAAUCGAGGCAUGGGACAUUUAUAGAUGGGUUGUAACUGAAAGCUGAAAAACUUUUGUUUGGCCGGGAAAAAGGGAUCCACAGGCUUGUGCAGCUGGCUGCUCUCUCUGCAGCUCUGCAGAGCAUGUACCCUGAGUCCUUUGGCCCCUUUUCUAACUGAAUUUGGUGGUAUAUGGGGGUGUACUCGUGAGUUUAUGGUGGCUGCCACAGAGCUCCAGUCUUUGGCGGUUCUCUAUGCUGCAAUCCAACUGAUUUCUCUAAUGUGGUCUUGCAGGUACGAACUGGGCAGGGUUGUUUGGCUGGGUGGAGUGCACCUGCCGUUGUGCAGUGAACUGGCUGGACAACCUGCUGGAAGGGCAGGCCAUUUCUGGUGGUGGCAGCCUUCAUCCUUGCCUAUUUUGAGAAAAAGGGCUGCUAAGCAUGGCUCUCACCCUGGGUGUUCCAAUUCGUCGGGCCGUUUGAGCUGGGCCAAGACCGGGCAUGAGAUACAUCUUGUGACUCGAAAUUGUAAUAGCCUAGUUCAACUUAAAUUUUAGUUCUUCAUGUAGACGAGUCUUUGUAAUCGUUAAUGUGUAUUCGGUUUCCUUUGUUUUCACUGUCAACAUUUGUAAUACACGAUUUAAAUUGGAAGUUCUAAAUAUCAUGUUUUGUUUACUCAAGAAUAUAAAUAAAUACUCUUUCGUUCUUUAUUUAAA